GAGCCACUUUUGGGGAAUUUUCCGCAAUGGGCGAAAGCCUGACGGAGCAAUACCGCGUGAGGGAAGAAGGCCCGUGGGUUGUAAACCUCUUUUCUCAAGGAAGAAUUUCUGACGGUAUUUGAGGAAUCAGCAUCGGCUAACUCCGUGCCAGCAGCCGCGGUAAUACGGAGGAUGCAAGCGUUAUCCGGAAUUAUUGGGCGUAAAGCGUUCGUAGGCGGUUUAUCAAGUCUUCUGUCAAAGCUUAGGGCUUAACCCCGGUUAGGCAGUAGAAACUGUUAAACUAGAGUACGGUAGGGGUAGAGGGAAUUCCCUGUGUAGCGGUGAAAUGCGCAAAUAUCGGGAAGAACACCGAUGGCGAAGGCACUCUGCUGGGCCGAAACUGACACUCAGCGACGAAAGCUAGGGGAGCGAAAGGGAUUAGAUACCCCUGUAGUCAAA
rnacentral:rRNA from 1 species